rnacentral:rRNA from 1 species
CCUACGGGGGGCAGCAGUGGGGAAUAUUGGACAAUGGGGGGAACCCUGAUCCAGCCAUGCCGCGUGUGUGAAGAAGGCCCUCGGGUUGUAAAGCACUUUCAGUGAGGAAGAACGCCUGGUGGUUAAUACCCAUCAGGAAAGACAUCACUCACAGAAGAAGCACCGGCUAACUCCGUGCCAGCAGCCGCGGUAAUACGGAGGGUGCGAGCGUUAAUCGGAAUUACUGGGUGUAAAGCGCGCGUAGGUGGCUUGAUAAGCCGGUUGUGAAAGCCCCGGGCUCAACCUGGGAACGGCAUCCGGAACUGUCAAGCUAGAGUGCAGGAGAGGAAGGUAGAAUUCCCGGUGUAGCGGUGAAAUGCGUAGAGAUCGGGAGGAAUACCAGUGGCGAAGGCGGCCUUCUGGACUGACACUGACACUGAGGUGCGAAAGCGUGGGUAGCAAACAGGAUUAGAUACCCUUGUAGUC